ACAUUCGUUGUUUUGCCUUGGC
rnacentral:siRNA from 1 species